GAUGAACGCUGGCGGCGUGCCUAAUACAUGCAAGUCGAGCGAACGGACGAGAAGCUUGCUUUUCUGAUGUUAGCGGCGGACGGGUGAGUAACACGUGGAUAACCUACCUAUAAGACUGGGAUAACUUCGGGAAACCGGAGCUAAUACCGGAUAAUAUUCUGAACCGCAUGGUUCAAAAGUGAAAGACGGUCUUGCUGUCACUUAUAGAUGGAUCCGCGCUGCAUUAGCUAGUUGGUAAGGUAACGGCUUACCAAGGCAACGAUGCAUAGGCGACCUGAGAGGGUGAUCGGCCACACGGGAACUGAGACACGGGCCAGACUCCUACGGGAGGCAGCAGUAGGGAAUCUUCCGCAAUGGGCGAAAGCCUGACGGAGCAACGCCGCGUGAGUGAUGAAGGCCUUCGGAUCGUAAAGCUCUGUUAUUAGGGAAGAACAGAUUUGUAAGUAACUGUGCAGAGCUUGACGGUACCUAAUCAGAAAGCCACGGCUAACUACGUG
rnacentral:rRNA from 1 species